UGCUAGUUGCACGAGCUUACACUCGUGGCGAAAGCUCAGUAACACGCGGUCAACUACCCUACAGAGAACGAUAACCUCGGGAAACUGAGGCUAAUAGUUCAUACGGGAGUCAUGCUUGAAUGCCGACUCCCCGAAACGCUCCGGCGCUGUAGGAUGUGACUGCGGCCGAUUAGGUAGACGGUGGGGUAACGGCCCACCGUGCCGAUAAUCGGUACGGGUUGUGAGAGCAAGAACCCGGAGACGGAAUCUGAGACAAGAUUCCGGGCCCUACGGGGCGCAGCAGGCGCGAAACCUUUACACUGCACGCAAGUGCGAUAAGGGGACCCCAAGUGCGAGGGCAUAUAGUCCUCGCUUUUCUCGACUGUAAGGCGGUCGAGGAAUAAGAGCUGGGCAAGACCGGUGCCAGCCGCCGCGGUAAUACCGGCAGCUCAAGUGAUGACCGAUAUUAUUGGGCCUAAAGCGUCCGUAGCCGGCCAUGAAGGUUCAUCGGGAAAUCCGCCAGCUCAACUGGCGGGCGUCCGGUGAAAACCACAUGGCUUGGGACCGGAAGGCUCGAGGGGUACGUCCGGGGUAGGAGUGAAAUCCCGUAAUCCUGGACGGACCACCGAUGGCGAAAGCACCUCGAGAAGACGGAUCCGACGGUGAGGGACGAAAGCUAGGGUCUCGAACCGGAUUAGAUACCCGGGUAGUCCUAGCUGUAAACGAUGCUCGCUAGGUGUGGCACAGGCUACGAGCCUGUGCUGUGCCGUAGGGAAGCCGUGAAGCGAGCCGCCUGGGAAGUACGUCCGCAAGGAUGAAACUUAAAGGAAUUGGCGGGGGGAGCACUACAACCGGAGGAGCCUGC
rnacentral:rRNA from 1 species